ACGGGUGAGUAAUACAUCGGAACGUGUCCUGGAGUGGGGGAUAGCCCGGCGAAAGCCGGAUUAAUACCGCAUACGAUCUCAGGAUGAAAGCGGGGGACCGAAAGGCCUCGCGCUCAAGGGGCGGCCGAUGGCAGAUUAGCUAGUUGGUGGGGUAAAGGCCUACCAAGGCGACGAUCUGUAGCUGGUCUGAGAGGACGACCAGCCACACUGGGACUGAGACACGGCCCAGACUCCUACGGGAGGCAGCAGUGGGGAAUUUUGGACAAUGGGGGCAACCCUGAUCCAGCAAUGCCGCGUGUGUGAAGAAGGCCUUCGGGUUGUAAAGCACUUUUGUCCGGAAAGAAAACCUCCGUCCUAAUACGGUGGGGGGACGACGGUACCGGAAGAAUAAGCACCGGCUAACUACGUGCCAGCAGUCGCGGUAAUACGUAGGGUGCAAGCGUUAAUCGGAAUUACUGGGCGUAAAGCGUGCGCAGGCGGUUCGCUAAGACCGAUGUGAAAUCCCCGGGCUUAACCUGGGAACUGCAUUGGUGACUGGCGGGCUAGAGUAUGGCAGAGGGGGGUAGAAGCCCACGUGUAGCAGUG
rnacentral:rRNA from 1 species